GGCAUAUGGAAGUUCCCAGGCUAGGGGUCAAAUUGGAGCUACAGCUGUCAGCCUACAUCACAGCCACAGCCACACCAGAACUGAGCCAUGUCUGCAUCCCACACCACAGCUCACAGCAAUGCCAGAUCUUUGACUGAGUGAGGCCAGGGAUUGAACUUGUGUCCUCAUAGAUACUACAAUCUUACUCCAUAAUGUGAUCUUGAGAAAUGAGGCAACAGCACAGGGCUUUCAGAGAAAUCAUUCAGAGAUCCAGUGGCAGUGAGGAGCCAGUGGGGAAUCAGUGGGAAUCUGUUAGCAACAGCAUCAUCUUCUAAUGACAGAUGAUCCUAGCCAGGCUCUUCGUUCACUAGACAGUGGCUCUGGUUCUGGGACCCAGUUACCCUUGGCUUCUGCUUGUUAACUAAGACAGAGCAUUUCCAUCCAUUCCAUGUUCAUAUCCUUCCAACAAAUUUAGUUCAUGCUUAGGUUCAACACAAGUGCCUUCUGUUGCUUGCAAUUGAAACCCUUGCCUGAAACACAAAAGAUACAAUUCUCCAUUUCAUUUUCAUCAUUUAAUUAUUCUUUUUAAAGUUGGAAUGACCUCUUUCCAAAACCAGGAGUCAUAGAUCAGUUACAUAAACUCUAAAUUAAUACCCUUGGGGUGGUCACGUUACUGGAGGAAGCCUCCCAUUUUCAGGGGGAAGAUUUACUUUGGAGCCUACAGCUGAAAACUGUGUUGACCUCAGAGCUCUCUAAAGGGCUUCUACUUCACUGCCUUCAUGUAUUCAUUCAUUCAUUCAUCCACUCACUUAAGUGUUUAUUCCAUCAUCAUUUAUCUAGAACCUACUACAUAUUCAGUAAUGCAUGGGCCACUAUCCUAAGUGAGCAAAGCAAAAGGAGCUUAACUUUAUGGGGAGGACAGACAUGGACAACAAAUUAUUACUUGAUUUGAUUUGAUUUGUUUUUUUCUUUUUUAGGGCCAUACUUGCAAGGCAUAUGGAAGUUCCUGGUCUGGGGUGGAAUCGGAGUUACAGUUGAGGCCUAUGCCAUAGCCAUGGCAACUCCAGAUCUGAGCCAUAUCUGUGACCUUCACUGCAGCUUGCAGCACCUCUGGAUCCUUAACCCACUGAACAAGGCCAGGGAUUGAUCCCGCAUCUUCAUGGAUACUAGUCAGGUUCUUAACCCACUGAGCCAUGGUGGGAACUCCCACAAUGAAUUGUUUAAUUUCACCAUUUUAUAAGAACCACGGAGAAGUUUAGGAUGCUUUUCUUUCUUUUUAAUUUAGUUUUUAUUUUACACUGGAGCAUGGUUGACUUAUCAUGUUGUGUUAGUUUCAGGUGUACAGCAAAGUGAUUCAGUUAUACGUAUACACAUAUCCAUUCUUAUUCAAAUUUUUUUCACAUAUAGGUUAUUACAGACUAUUUUUUCUUUUUUAUUAAUAACUUUAUUUUUUUAUCAAAGAGUUGAUUUACAAUGUUGUGCCAAUUUCUGCUCUACAGCAUAGUGACCCAGUAAUACAUAUAUAUACAUUCUUUUUCUCACACUAUCAUCUAUCAUGUUUUAUCCCAAGAGAUUGGACACAGUCCCCUGUGCUAUACAGUAGGACCUCAUUCCUUAUCCAUGCCAAAUGUCAUAGUUUGCAGCUACCAACCCCAAACUCCCAGUCCAUCCCACCCACUCCUUUUCCCUUCCCCCUUGGCAACCACAAAUCUGUUCUCUAUGUCUGUCUGUUUCUGUUUUGUGUUUGGAUUCAUUUGUCCCAUAUUUUAGAUUCCACAUAUAAAGUGAUACAACCACUAUGGAAAACAGUGUGGAGUUUCCUCAGAAAACUAAAUAUAGAACUACCAUAUAAUCCAGCCAUCCCAGUCCUGGGUAUAUAUCCAUCAAAAACUAAAAUUCAAAAAGAUAGAUGCAUCCCUAUGUUCAUUUAAACACUAUUCAUAAUAGCCAAGACAUGGAAACAACCUAAAUGUCCAUCGACAGAUGAAUGGAUUAAGAAGAUGGUACAUAUACACAAUGGAAUACUACUUAGCCAUAAAAAUGAACAAAAUAAUGCCAUUUGCAGCAACAUAGAUGCAAUUUAAGGUUCUUAUCCUAAGUGAAGCAAGUCAGGAAGAGAAAGACAAACACUGUGGUACGGAAUAUUGAGUAUAGUUCCCUACGUUAUUCAGGAGGUCCUUAUUGAUUAUCAGUCUUAUAUAUACUAGUGUGUACAUGUUAAUCCCAAACUCCCAGUCCAUCCCUCUCUACCAGCUUUCCUGUGGUAACUGUAAGUCUGCUUUCAAAAUUUGUGAAGGGUAUUUGGAACAGGAGUUCAGGGAGAGGAACGCCUUGCCAAGGAAGUAACAUUGGAGCUUUGAGCUGAGGGAUGAAGGGGCAUGACUGGCUGAAACAGGGAAAGAAGUGGAGAUGAUAGGGUGUGUGAAGGGCCCAGGCAGGCAGGAGCAGCCUGCUUUCUCAGGGGUGGAAAGGAAGCCAGGGGGUCUGAAGCUGAGUCCAAAGGACAGGAAAGUGAGCUGAGGUUGAAGAGGGAUUUGGACCUUGAUGGCCAAGGUAAAGAUUAGGGAUGUUUUAUCUCAAAAGCAGUUAGAACCAUUGGGGGGUUUUAAUUGGGUGAGAAAAAUGUUGGAUUUCCAUAUUUUGAGAAUCAUGCUGAUAGCGGCAUUAAAGAGUGAAACAGAGGGUCUCAAGCAGGGUGAUGAGAAGGGCAGGUGGGAGGGCAUUUCAGCGCCGCUGGCAGAACUCUGGAGUCGGGUGAAGGUGGAGAGAAGAGAAUGACUUAGAGAAUGUAUGAGGCAUAGAGCAGAAGUCCAUGGCUGGUUGGUGGAGAGUUUCCCUGAGGAAUGCAGGGUGGAUGGAGGUGGUUGUUACUGGUAUGUGCAGUUCUGAAGGAAGAAG
rnacentral:lncRNA from 1 species